rnacentral:rRNA from 1 species
GUAGGGUGCGAGCGUUAAUCGGAAUUACUGGGCGUAAAGCGUGCGCAGGCGGUGAGUCAAGUCUGCUGUGAAAGCCCCGGGCUCAACCUGGGAAUGGCAGUGGAAACUGGCUCGCUGGAGUAUGGCAGAGGGGGGUGGAAUUCCGCGUGUAGCAGUGAAAUGCGUAGAGAUGCGGAGGAACACCGAUGGCGAAGGCAGCCCCCUGGGCCAAUACUGACGCUCAGGCACGAAAGCGUGGGGAGCAAACAGGAUUAGAUACCCUGGUAGUCCACGCCCUAAACGAUGUCAACUGGGUGUUGGGGAAGCGAUUCCUUGGUACCGUAGCUAACGCGUGAAGUUGACCGCCUGGGGAGUACGGCCGCAAGGUUA